CAUUAAAAUUUAAUUGAUUUUUACCAUUAAAAACUGACAUAACUGACAAAAUAACCAAAUAAUAACUUGUGAUAUGCCACGUGUAUCUCAUGCUAAUAUACAGGGAUUAAUUUUUAAUUGUAAAAAUGGAUAAAACUUUUAACA
rfam:Gossypium hirsutum cultivar TM-1 unplaced genomic scaffold scaffold1865.1, whole genome shotgun sequence